rnacentral:rRNA from 1 species
CCUACGGGUGGCUGCAGUGGGGAAUAUUGGACAAUGGGCGAAAGCCUGAUCCAGCCAUGCCGCGUGUGUGAAGAAGGCCUUCGGGUUGUAAAGCACUUUCAGUGGGGAAGAAAGCCUUGGGGCUAAUACCCUCGAGGAAGGACAUCACCCACAGAAGAAGCACCGGCUAACUCCGUGCCAGCAGCCGCGGUAAUACGGAGGGUGCGAGCGUUAAUCGGAAUUACUGGGCGUAAAGCGCGCGUAGGCGGUCUGAUAAGCCGGUUGUGAAAGCCCCGGGCUCAACCUGGGAACGGCAUCCGGAACUGUCAGGCUAGAGUGCAGGAGAGGAAGGUAGAGUUCCCGGUGUAGCGGUGAAAUGCGUAGAGAUCGGGAGGAAUACCAGUGGCGAAGGCGGCCUUCUGGACUGACACUGACGCUGAGGUGCGAAAGCGUGGGUAGCAAACAGGAUUAGAUACCCCGGUAGUC